AGAGAGAAAAUCCUGGAGUGACAUUUUCCUGCGGGCUACGUGGGCUUUCACCUUGAACUCCUGCGCAACAGAUGUGUGCCAGCCUGGGUGUCCCUCUUUUAGCCCUCCUAAGAAGCCAGGGGGAUUAAUUAAAGCCGGAGCGCCCGCAGGAUAGCUGCAGAAAUAAUGAGAAACAGCAGGGACCAGGCAGCUGACUGAGACUGAUCGUUAUGUGUAUUCGGCUGAUGAUGACCUUUGAGGAAAGUGGGUAUUUAAUUUUUACUGCUGUUGUAAAGGCACAGACAAAGUCCUGACCUUUCGGAUGCAGGGUGACCACCAUGAGCAUCCCACCGAGAAUUAAUUACGAUUGCCUGGAGCUGCUCCAAGAAGCAUUUAUGGGAGUACUAUAAAUGUGGUAAAAGCGAUCAGUAUGCCUGGGAGAAGCCAUGCCAUGUGCCCGCUGUGAUAUCUAAAAGAAGCUCAGACUUGUCAGCUUGUUUUUUUGUUUCGCUGUUCAUUAACAAGGCGGAAAUAGGAGAGGCAGUGGUUGAACUGCAGGGCAAGUGCUUCCCGCCGUACUGCUCCCCGCGCAGAUGCUUUUGUGUUAGAUUAAGGGGCAAUGGAUAGAACUAGGCAGAAUAAAAAUCAAAUGUCUCCCCAAGAGACAGGGCACGGUGCAAUGCUCUGAGUGCACAAAGCAGAACGCGACAGCUCCUUCCAGUAGCCUCCUAUACAUGUAGAGUAGAAGUUAACAGAAAGCUCCACACAGGAACUCUGUACAAGCAGUUUUUUUUAAGAUUCAAGGUAUGCUACGAUGCCUUUGUACUUCAGCAUCCAGCACAAAGCUGGGGCUAUUAGUCACGUGGGAGUUUGCAGUCCUUUCCUCCAGAGAUCGGUUUAAAGAUGGAAAAUUGUAUAUGUGUAGAAAGUUUAGGCAGAAGUAAUUCAUAUAAGAGAUGAUGAAUUUGUCAGAUUCUUUGCCAGGAGAACUGGAAUUGAAUACAAAGGUUUGAAUAAAAAUUGUAAAACCAUCUAAAUUUGUGUUGGAGAAGGAUUUAAUUAGGAAUGAUGAUGAAAAAGCCAGAAAUGUGGAUUAACCUAAAAUGGAAAGAGCAGCCAAGUUACAGCAGAUGGCUUUUUCUUGUUCUUAAAGUGCCUCAUAAUCAGGAAAAUAUGCUGUAUAAUGAAAGUUGUUUCUAAACUGAUUUUUUUUUUUUUGGUAAGGUUUCCCAUGAGGCACGAGUUGAAAAGGAGAAUCAAAAAAAACAACUGCAGACAGUCUGUAUUGAACUGUUUUGGUUCCUGAGUUCCGGAGGUGUUUUGUGCUGUCCUGCUGAGGUUGCUAGUUCUUUCUCUCCUGUAUCAGUUAAGGAUUCCUUCUCUAAUGUUAUUAUCCAAACAACAGAUUUUUCUACAGUGCAGUAUCUGCUGUUAAGAUUUUCUUAAAAUCUUCCCUUUACUCUAUUUGUGGAUUCCUUUCUACCCAAAAUAGGAGGGGGAGGAGGGGGAAGGGAAGCAGAAGAGACAGCAUAUUGUAUAUGACAUAUGCUUGAUUUCCCAGUAAAGCUUAAUUACCGUACGGGGUUUUGCACUCCUGUUCCUUUUGAUGCACUGAGCAUUCUUAGAGUGCACUGCAAAGCCUAUUGCCUAUUCCAUUUUGAAUGCACUUGGGUAGGGUUUGCUUGUGCACUGGGGCAAAUGAAUGUGAAUUGUAUAUGGGAAUGGAGUUAGGAAUGUAGUCGUCUUUCCUGAAGACUGUAGGCGUCUGUGCAGCUUUCAGGCACAGUUAAAACCCACAGAAGAUGUUGUCUUUCCUGUUUUUUUAAUGUAAAGAUUAAUCCUACAAAGAGUUGAGCAUAUCAACCCGGAAAGUACUGGUGAAACUUUAAUCCCACAAGUAGCUCGACCAAAGGCCCUAAGAUAACAGAAGGGCAAGGGAGCUUUGCAGUUAGCAGGACUGAACUCAUGACUGAUUUCUGAAGAGACUGAUGCCUCAUGCUCUGUGAGUACACAAGUGUAAUUGCAGUCAAUGGGCGGCUUGGGAUAUAAUGUGCAAGAGAGAGACCUAACACGGUGAUUUAUUUUCAGCUCCUCAUAUUAAAAUGUGCGUUGUGUUUUGAGGAAGAGAAUGAUUUCUAAUGUAAAACAUAGCUAAAUUGUAUUAGCUUCAGCCAAAAAGCGGUAUAAAAGGUACAGAAUAUAAAUGAUAAAGUUAUGUUAAGGACAAUUAAAAAUACACGUCACAGAACAAAUCUGAGCAAUAUAGCAGUCUCAACUCCAUUGCAAAGAAAGACUGUGAUUUCAAGAUUAAAAGUGUGUUUAUUUGUGAAAAUAAGCCCCCUUUUCUCUGUUUUCAAGCUCUAUAUUUUAAACUAUCAUCAGCUUCAUCUCACCCUUAGCUAAUUUCAAUAACAUUCCAGAAUGCUGGGGAAGAGGAGUAUCCUAUUAGAAGAAGCAGUAGCAAGUAGCUGAAAUAUAUCUUGUUAAUUGAACAGUUUAGCUUUAUAUUUAUUUGCUGAAAAAUCCCCCAGUGGCAUAUUAAUUAUGCAUAAAGCCUUGCCUUGUAAAAAAGUUGGUUGGUUUUCAAAUACCCAUCUCAUCUCCUUUUAUUUUUAGUAAGCUGUUCUUUCAAACUGACAGCAUUUCAACUAUUUUAAUACUUUGAUGAAUAUCUAACUUUCAUUCUGAUUAUGGUUCAAAAUUAAUAUCUAGUGUGUUUUUUGAUCAAAACAGAAUCGACGGUACUGCUGAAGCAGGAAAUAGCUUUGCUGUUAAUCUUGAUCUUUAUUCAGCUUUCCCUAUUUGAGGCACCUUCUUUCACCAGAGCUGCUCAAAAGAGGAGUUCACUCUAUAGUGUCUGGAGCUGCCAAAGGAAGAAACCUUUGGAGGGCUUAUGGUGGAAGAGAAUAUUUAGAGUAAUAUAGCCGUUUGAGAGGGCUGGGGGAAGUAGUGAAGCUCCCUGAAGAAAGCUGAAGUCCCUCUCUUAUACAGAGAUCACUGACCAGUCCGUACUCCUUAUGAAGUCUGAGCAAAACGUGGUCAACUAACUCAUUGCGCAUCUCUAAGCCAAUAUUUUCAAUGAAUACACUAUUGCUAGAUACAUUAUUGAGGUAUACCAAGGAAGCAUAGGGGAAUGAUAAUAUGGCAUACAAGAGAUGAGAGGGGGCCUUCCACUCUAUGUAUAUUGAUCCUCAGUCUUGCGGGCAAACACUCAAAUAUCAAUUACUUACUGCAUGCUCAAAAUUGAACGGUCUUAUGUGAAUGCAAAUUGACCUUUGCUUCCUGGUGUCCGAACUGCCCAGCUCUUUCACUGGCAAUUCUCAAAACAUCAUUUUGUGUCUCUUGUACAAAUAUGUGUCAUUUUCCAGAUGCAAGAGAAAAGUAAUCAACUUUAAUAUAUCAAAUACAUGAACAAUACAAAAGUGUUUAACUUCAGUUCCCUUGAAAAUGCUGGCAUAAAUAAGAGUUUUACAUUGCUAUAUGACAUAAACAAGCUGGAGAAAACCUGACUAGAUGACAUUCCAAGCAAGCUGGAGAAAAUUGGUCGGAAAACAGUAAUCAGAGAAUAAUUGUCAAAGGUUUGCUGUUACACUGGAAAAUGGUUGGCUGAGAUUCUGGCUGGGAUGUGUGCUGUGCUGGGUAAUUUUUAACAUUUUCUUCAGUGACCUAGAUGAUGAAAUAUAAAGUAUAUUUAUUACUUUUGCAGAUGUCACAAACCUGGUGGAGUAGCAGUCAAAAUGAUCUUGACAAAUGAGACAGCUGGUCUGGAAAACAGGAUGAACUUCAAAAAGGAGAAUGCAAGGGAGCUUCUUCAACUGACAAUGUUGUCAAAUCAUUGAGAAUCUAUGUCCACUCGUGCUACAGAUCACCAGUCCUUCUGAUGAUACCCUAACAUACUGCUGUACCAAAGUGUCAGAGCCAGCAAAGAAAAAUGAGUGUUUUACAUGGCAAAUACCUUUUAUGACUUAUGGUUAAUGGACCUUACUAUUAAUUGGCAGAACUACAACUCUUGUUUAGUUGAUGAAAGCAGCUGUCUUGAAAAGUCAUUAGCCUUCCUUUUGUUCUUGUUUUUCUGCAUUUUUUUCACAAGAUUGAUUACACGGAAUGCUUCUUUGAACUUACAUUGAAUGUUUUCUUUGAGGAUCUACUUGCAUCUUUGUUUCAUAUAUUUUGCUAGUUUUUCAGUAUUCCAACAACACAUAUGUGUUAAAAGGAAAAACAAAAAAAAAAGUGGAAUAGUUAAUAGUCUCAGGAAAAGAUUCCUGAAAAAUAUCAGUAGUAUGAAAAUAUCAAUAAUGAAUAUAAUAUUAAAAAUAUGAAUAGUAUGAGAAAUAUGUGCAUAGACUUAUGAAGGCUAACUAGUUAUGCAGCAAUGGAAAAGAAACUCCAUUAACAGAAACGUAGUAACCCAUAAAGGAUCUUGUGUUGUGCAUUUCAUGUAUCCUCUAACGGGCCUAAAUCAAUUACUUCAGUUAAGACAUGGAGGCCUUUUUUAUUGGGUGCGGCUAUGGCUGGAGAGUAAGCAAUUUAUUUCAAAAGCUGAUUCAGCAAGAAACUCUUCAGGGACCUAUCAAUGUUCCAUUAAUAAUCAGAGAUGCUGUAAUGAUUAUCGGUGGCAUUGUAAAUCAUUUCGCAUAAGACUAUUUAUUUUAACAUUACUCAGCAAUGCUGUGUUUCCUAAAAGACAAAAAGAUUUCCAUAUCAUGAAGCCAGGUCUUCAGGAGUCAGCAACAAUAUGUGUAAUAGACUUUCCAAAUGCUAUUUCUUCUUAUGUUGUAUUUUUUUGGUGGGAAGUUAAGUAUUCAAGACAGGAAGGUCCUUAUAAAUUUGACCUAAGCCAGUGAUAGCAUGAGCAGAUAUUAUGAAAAUUUUAUGCUGACUUCUGCUAAUUCAUCUUGACUUCAGUCUCCAAUAUCCCUGCAUUUUCAUUAUCCUCUCAAAGCUGAUUCUGUGUCCAAGUGAAAUUAAUAGGAGAAAGAUCAAUCCUGGACAUUUCUUGAUGUGUCAGUCCAAUUCCGAAUCCACUGGUUUUCCAAGACAUGAUUUCAUUCAAAAACAAUAACGGUUAAGACAAAAGUUGAUUGAAUUAUUCAUUACAGAUAACAACCUUUUUUUUGGUCCCUUAAUGUAAACUUAAAGCAGAUUAAAUAUAAAUGGUUUGGCAGAUUUGCCUUAUUUGCAAAUUCUUAGGCAAGGUCAAAAUAGCAGUAAAAACUCUGUCUGAGUUCCAUUUUUACACGACUUAGACAUUGUUAAAAUAGCUAUUGGUGUCACAGUGUCACGAAUACAGAGGAGAAAAAUAAAGGUGAGAAGGGAUCCAAGAGAUUGGAAAGCAGGUAGAACCAAAUAAAUGUUCAUUAAUAUAUUGCAUCACACAGGACACCUGUAGCGAUGGAGCAGAAAAAAAAAUUACUGGUAGUAAUAGGUCUGUCUGAAAAUAAUAUUUCUCAAACCUCAAGAUCUCAUUUUCAGUAUGAAAAAGUAUUACUGAAUGAGUAUUAAUGCAGCAGUGUUUUAAUAAUGCUAGGUCAUUUUCCAUCAGUUUUAUUUUACAGUCUCUGAAGAGAGAUUGUAAGUCUGAAGAGAGACUUGCUACCUAUACGUGUUAGGGAAAAUAAUCUCCUUUUGAUUAGAAUGGCUUUUCCUCAAAACCCAGAGACUAUUCUUGCUUAUGAUUUUUGUCCUAGCAGGCCCUUAUAUUGAAGAAAAGACUGUUGCUUCCUUCUUUUAGGUUUGUGUUGCUUAAUGAUUUCUAAUUUUCUGUUUGCUUUGCUAGUGAUCUUAAAACUGUCACCAUCUGCACUUAACAGUGUAAGAAAACCACUCUACUUAUUGCUUUUUGCCAUGAACCUUGAAUGAUUACAGCAGUGGUUUUCCACUGCUGCUUCUUAGCACUGUUGAUAUUAGUAUCCUAAAUAGAAAUCAUUUUUCUAAAAUUAAUAUCAAUAUUGUUUUUUUGUGAA